GGGGAUUUGGCUCAGUGGUAGAGCGCUUGCCUAGGAAGCACAAGGUCCUGGGUUCAAUCCCCAGUCCCG
rnacentral:tRNA from 1 species